rnacentral:rRNA from 1 species
ACUCAAAGGAAUAGACGGGGGCCCGCACAAGCAGUGGAGUAUGUGGUUUAAUUCGAAGCAACGCGAAGAACCUUACCAGGGCUUGACAUACAGAGGAAUAGCAUAGAGAUAUGUUAGCUCUUCGGAGCCUCUGAACAGGUGGUGCAUGGUUGUCGUCAGCUCGUGUCGUGAGAUGUUGGGUUAAGUCCCGCAACGAGCGCAACCCUUGUUGUUAGUUGCCAGCGAGUAAAGUUGGGCACUCUAGCGAGACUGCCGGUGACAAAUCGGAGGAAGGUGGGGACGACGUCAAAUCAUCAUGCCCCUUAUGUCCUGGGCAACACACGUACUACAAUGGCUAUCACAACGGGAAGCGAAGCCGUAAGGCGGAGCAAAUCCUGCAAAAAUAGUCCCAGUUCAGAUUGUGGGCUGAAACUCGCCCACAUGAAGUCGGAAUUGCUAGUAAUGGCAGGUCAGCAUACUGCCGUGAAUACGUUCCCGGGCCUUGUACACACCGCCCGU